rnacentral:rRNA from 1 species
AUACGAAGGGGGCUAGCGUUGCUCGGAAUGACUGGGCGUAAAGGGCGUGUAGGCGGUUUGUACAGUCAGAUGUGAAAUCCCCGGGCUUAACCUGGGAGCUGCAUUUGAGACGUGCAGACUAGAGUGUGAGAGAGGGUUGUGGAAUUCCCAGUGUAGAGGUGAAAUUCGUAGAUAUUGGGAAGAACACCGGUGGCGAAGGCGGCAACCUGGCUCAUUACUGACGCUGAGGCGCGAAAGUAUGGGUAGC